GUAAUAGCUCACUGGUCGAGUCGGCCCGCGCGGAAGAUGUAACGGGGCUAAACCAUGCACCGAAGCUGCGGCAGCGACACAAAGUGUUGUUGGGUAGGGGAGCGUUCUGUAAGCCUGCGAAGGUGUACUGUGAGGUAUGCUGGAGGUAUCAGAAGUGCGAAUGCUGACAUAAGUAACGAUAAUGCGGGUGAAAAACCCGCACGCCGGAA
rnacentral:rRNA from 1 species